GGACGUAACAAAGCGACCCAGGAAUGCUUGGGCGUGCCUCCACCCACGCCGGCGUCGGCGGGCGUAUUUCGCCUCACAGUAGGUCGCCGCGACCCGUUGCUUUUGGGGACGUCGAAGGCCCGGACGGAUUGGUACCCUACCGGCUGGGGAUGCGGCUUCGGCUUCUCCUCUUGUCCGGUGGGCGAAACCGCCGGUGUCCUGGCUGCCCUGCGACGGUCGUAGAGACGAGCCCUUCCCAUUCGUGGGGGGUGGCUCUCGCGGCGUGCAAAAAGUCGGUGAUCCACCCGACCCGUCUUGAAACACGGACCAAGGAGUCUAACAUGUGUGCGAGUCAGUGGGCGCACUAAACCCAGAGGCGUAAUGAAAGUGACACGGGUUCGGCUGUCGCCUCGUGUGGCAGCCGGACUCAGGGCCGAUCCCUCACCGGUUGGCCUCGCCUCUCUCCCGCGUCUCGGUAAGCCGGGUGAGCUAUUUUCCCCGGCCAAUGCUGCGGGGCUCGGGGGGAGGCGGGGUGCGAUGGUGUCCGUAAAAAAGAGCCUGCUGUUGCAGGGGGGCGCAGGCCCGGGACUUGCCAGGACGCCGCGAGACUGUCACUUUGCUGUGAGGCUCCAGGGCCGAUCAGCGGGUCAUGCGUGCAGUCGGCAAGUACCAUGAGCAGACAUGUUGGGACCCGAAAGAUGGUGAACUAUGCCUGGCCAGGAUGAAGCCAGAGGAAACUCUGGUGGAGGUCCGUAGCGAUUCUGACGUGCAAAUCGAUCGUCGGAGCUGGGUAUAGGGGCGA
rnacentral:rRNA from 1 species